AGAGCGAACGCUGGCGGCAGGCCUAACACAUGCAAGUCGAGCGCCCGUAGCAAUACGGGAGCGGCAGACGGGAUAGUAACACGUGGGAACGCGCCCUUCGGUUCGGAAUAACUCAGGGAAACUUGAGCUAAUACCGGAUACGCCCUUACGGGGAAAGAUUUAUUGCCGAAGGAACGGCCCGCGUCCGAUUAGCUAGUUGGUGAGGUAAUGGCUCACCAAGGCGACGAUCGGUAGCUGGUCUGAGAGGAUGACCAGCAUCACUGGGACUGAGACACGGCCCAGACUCCUACGGGAGGCAGCAGUGGGGAUAUUGGACAAUGGGCGCAAGCCUGAUCCAGCCAUGCCGCGUGGAUGAUGAAGGCCUUAGGGUUGUAAAGUCCUUUUAACGGGGAGAUAAUGACGGUACCCGUAGAAUAAGCCCCGGCUAACUUCGUGCCAGCAGCCGC
rnacentral:rRNA from 1 species